CCCCAGCUGGGGUGCACACCUGGCAAAGAAUGGAGGAGCUGAUACUUAUUGACCAUGACUUGCACUGUACAUGUGUUAACUUCUGACCCCUGCAAAUAGCCUGCUACUAUCCCCCCGCUUGACAAUGGAAAAGAUGGAGACACUGAUUUGUCACCCAGGCUAGAGUGCAGUGGCUCGAUCUCAGCUCACCACAACCUCCGCCUUUCGGGUUCAAGUGAUUCUCUUGCCUCAGCCUUCCAAGAGCCUGGGAUUACAGGGUCUUAUGGUGUUGCCCAGGCUGGAGAGCACUUAUGUGAUCACGGCUCACUGUAGCCUCAAUCUCCCAGACUCAGGGCUGACAGUGUCAACUGGAGCCCCUGUCCUUUGGGAUGCCUGUGAAAUGGCCCUGAAUAUCUCAAGUUGGAACCCCUCAACAUCACUUUGGGAGUGUCCUUGAUGUCACCCACUGACCCUGAUGUGCUUCUCGGCACCCUCGGUUUCUACACCAACACAACUCCUUACAGGUUCUGUCACCCUUCAAUAGCAGAGGUGAGCAGCCAAAACAGACUACAUGGCCUGCAAAGCCUGAAAUAUUUACCAUCUGCUCUUUAUGGAAAGAGCCAACUGUUCACUACCCUGGAGUGUGGCUCUCUGGGCGAGGGAUCUGUGUCUGUAGCGCCGCCUUGCACGUACGGGCUCACAGGUGAGUCCUCAUGCAGGGCCAUUGGUUCUCUAUGCAGUAUGCCAGGCACGGGAGUACUCGGGAGGGGAGGCAGCCUGGCCUGGGCAGGAGGAUUCUUAGAGGCUUCUUUAAAAUUCACUGCCUCACUCAGAUACAUGUUAAAACUCAGUGGAGCCAGGUGUCGUGGCACGCACCUGUAGUUCCAGCUACUCCGAAGCUGAGGUGGGAGAAUCACUUGAGCUCGGGAAUUUGAGUCCAGCCUGGGCAACAUAGUGAGACCCUAUCUGUUAAAACAAAUGAGAACAUGGUCGUAGGAUAGCAGUCCUCCCCCUCAGAACAGUUAACAUUAAAAUUAGGCACAGCACCAAGUGCUAACACGGAUGUGGAGCAACGGGAACCCUCACACACUGCUAACGGGAGGGUAAAGUGUUACAGCCACGCGGGAAGAUUCGUAUACACUCUCACCUGCCAUAUGACCCAGCUACUCAGCCUUAGACAUUCAUCCAAAAGAAAUAAAAACAUAUGCCUGUAAAGACACUUGCACAGGAUGGUCACGGAAGCCUCAUUCAUUAAAGCCCCAACCAGGAAACCGCCCAGGUGCCUAUGAACAGGCAGAUGAAGAAACAAAGUGUGGUAUAUUGAAAUAACUGAUUCCUAUUCAGCAGUGGAAAGGAACAAGCUGCACAUCUCCAGCUGCAUGAAUCUUAUAAACAUCUUGCUUAGCCGCAAGCCAGCACUCAAGAGCAGACACUGGAUGAUGUCAUUUAGUUUUUAUUCAUUUUUUCCCUCAGUAAUAAACGGCAAGCGGAUGAUGCCACUUAUGUAUCGUUCCAGAACGAGUGACGGUAAUAUGUCAUGACGGACAUCAGAGAGGGGCUGUUAGAGUCCUUGGGCAGGGGACGCUCAGAAUCUUCGGGGGUAAUAGAAAUGUUCUCUAUUUUGAUGGGUGUGUGAGCCACAUGGGUACAUGCAUUUGACAAAAUGAUUUGAACUGUACACCUAAGAUCUGUGUGUUCUGUUACAUGAAAAUGAUGGCUCAGUAAGAAAAUAUUCUUGGAAAAACGUAGGGCCGAGGGCCCCACAGGGUCGUGGGGUGUCCGUUAUGCUGUGCUCAGGCGCAGGAUCUGAGAAAUAAAGAGGCAGGACACAGAAGUACAAGGGAAACGCAGCUGGGCUCCAGGGGCCACGCCACCUAUGAGCGGAGUCAGGCGAGGCCCCAAAUGUCCAGAAGUGUAUUUAUUGUGUAUAGGUGAGGGGGAGGGCAGUGAGUGAAAUCAUCUUUAAGGAUAGUGAUAAAGUCAUGAGCAAUAAAACAAGGGGUCCAUCCCCAUUAGGUCACCGAGGCCAGGAGGUGGACGGUGCGGAGCAAGGGGUCCAUUCCCAUUAGGUCAUCGAGGCACGGGCCGUGUGCAGUAGGGGGUCCACCCCCAUUAGGUCACUGAGGCACGGAGGUGGGCUGUGCACAGUGAAGAGGGUGCAGUGAGCAAUACCUCUAACUAUGGGCAAGCUACUUCUAAGAUUUAUAGGAGGAUGCUUUAAGUCACACAGCAGUGACAGAGCUGUCAGGGUUACCGCCACCUACUGGCAGCUUCCAAUGGGUUCUAUGGGAAGAUGCUUUUCAAGCAGCACAGUAGCAAGAGCUGGUAAAGUUCACAGUCACCAAGGUGCGAUUAUCCGAAAGGGUUUUGAGCCCUGGGAUGCUCGAGGGAUUGCCGGUCUGAGGGCGGCCUUCCACAGAACUGGAGCAAGGUCCUACAGCUCCUUUGUGAGGAGAAGUGGCUCUCGCCCCAAGCCUGCCAUACACAGGGUGUCUUUAUGAUAAUGAACGCCACCGCCUGGGCCGUGGGUUCUUGUCCUGGCAUAACUGCUUUCCCUUAAAUCAUGCUCUGCACUGUGUCUGCUCCAGACAUUCCUCCGACUGUAAGCUGCUUAUUCCUUAUUUCAUGCUCUGCACUGUGUCUCCUCUAGGCAUUUCUCCAGUUAUGAACCAAGAUAGAGGGAAAUAACUGAGUGGUGGCAGAUUUUCUUUAGGCACGCAUGCUAAGAACAUGAUUAUAUAUAGAGGAUUACAUAAAGGGAAAUAACUGAGUAGUAACACUAUAAACUGAGAUAAUCUCCGAGCCCUAAUUCUAUAAACUCAUAUAUGAUUAUAUAAAGGAUUAUAUAAAAGGAAAUAACUGAGUGGUAACACUAUAAACCGAGAUAUUCUUCAGGCCUUCAUUAUGCCGGGAUUCUGCUUGGCUCUCCUUCCUCGGUGCCUUUAUGGGGGUUACCCACAGAAAAACACCCCUUGCUAAGUCCCAGUAAAACCCAGAGAGAGCGAGAGUGACUCAAAACCCAUCGGGCAGGGGCCGUGGCCACCCUGGGCCUCGCAGAGCAGGAGGGAUUCCAGCAGAGGCUUCGAGCCCAGUGUGAUUUGUCCCAGGGGAAGAAAGGAAGGCUCCCGGUGAAAGCCUGUUUGCUCUGCCCAAGCGUUUCACCUCGCCUGUUUGGCUUGGGUGGAGUCCAGCCAGGUGCACCCACUGAGAAAACAGAAGAGGAUCACGGGUUGCUCUAGGAAAUGCCGGGGUGCGGGUGUGGAGGAGGACCAAUGCCCCCAGUGUGGGGAUCUCAAUUCCCUUUCUUUGUCCAGGCAACCUCCUAUCACUCCAAAGGGGGCUGAGGACGCCCCCCAUGCCCCGCACCAGGGCAACACGCUGGACUUGGGUUCACCGGCGAACGAGCAGGUCUCAUGCCCCUCUCAGCGUCUAAGCUGAGACAAGGACAAGGUUGAAAAAAGUCUAACAUCUCAAAAGACAAGAGAAGGUCAUCUGCUCGCAGACAAGAACUCGCUUUACCUCAAGGGAACUUUCUGGAGGAAACCUAUUGUUUUCAGACUGUUGCCUUCCAGAGUUCGAGUCUUCAUUUUUCAAACUGCUUUACUGAGACAUAAUUUUUGUACCAGAAAGCCACCUGUUUGGGUGCACAAGUCCACGGUUUAUAGUACCUUUAUGAAGUGUGUGACCAGGCCAUUUCACAUUAAUGCAAUCAUACCCUAUGGGGCCCUUUGCAUCUAGCUUUUUUCACCUUAGCAUAAUGUUUCCAAGGUGUACCGUGUUAUAGUGGGGGUCAGAAAUUCAGUUCUUUUAAGGCUGAAUACUAUGCAAUGUCUGGAGACUCAGUAACAAGAAAAUCAUUUGAAAUCUCUUAAUGUACAGAAAGCUGAGAACCCUGGUAUUAUACAGGAACUCUCACACACUGCUCAUGGGAGUGUAAAAUGUUAUAGCUGUGUGGGAAAAUCGCUUGGUAGGUUCUUAUAAAGUUAAACAUACACAUGCCAUAUAACCCAGCUACUCUGCCUUUAGAUAUUCAUCCAAAAGAAAUAAAAACAUAUGCCUGUAAAGACACUUGCACAGGAUGGUCACGGAAGCCUCAUUCAUUAAAGCCCCAACCAGGAAACCGCCCAGGUGCCUAUGAACAGGAAAACUCUUCCUGGUUUUUUGUUUGUUUGUUUCUGAGAGUCUUGCUUUGCCCCACAGGUUGGAGUGCACUGGCACGAUCUCGGCUCACUGCAACCUCCACCUCCCUCUGCCUCCCAGGUUCAAGUGAUUCUUGUGCCUCAGCCUCUCAAGUAGUGGGGAUUACAGGCAUGGGCCAUCAAGCCUGGCUAAUUUUUAUAUUUUUAAUAGAGACAGCAUUUCACCAUGUUGGCCAGGCUGUUCUCAAAUUCCUGGCCUCAAAUGAUCCACCUGCCUUGGCCUCCCAAAGUGCUGGGAUUUCAGGCACGAGCCACUGCAUCCAGCCUCUCCCCAUUGCUUUAUUUAUUUAGAGAUGCAGUCUUGCUCUGUUGCCCAGGCUGGAGUUCAGUGGUGCAAUCUUGGCUCACUGCAAUCUCUGCCUUCUGGGUUCAAGCAAUUCUCCUGCCUCAGCCUCCCAAGUAGCUGGGAUUAUAGGCACCUGCCACCACCACACCUGGCUAAUUUUUCUAUUUUUAGUAGAGACAGGGUUUCACCAUAUUGGCCAGCCUGGUCUUGAAUUCUUGACCUUGUGAUCUGCCUGCCUGGGCCUCCCAAAAGGUUGGGAUUACAGGUGUGAACCACUGUGCCUGGCCUCCCUGUUGCUCACGCCUAUAAUCCCAGCACUUUGGGAGGCUGAGUCUGGCGGAUCAUCUGAGGUUGGGAGUUUGAGAUGAGCUUGACCAACAUGGAGAAACCCCGUCUCUACUAAAAAUACAAAAAUUAGCUUGGUGUGGUGGCGCAUGCCUGUAAUCCCAGCUACUCGGGAGGCUGAGGCAGGAGAAUUGCUUAAAUCUGGGAGGUGGAGUUUGCAGUGAGCUGAGAUUGUGCCACUGCACUCCAGCCUGUGCAAGAAGAAAAGAAAAAAAAAAUCCACACAGGCCUCUGAGCUGGGGCAUUUUUAUUUACGAAGCCAUGUGAUCCCUGGCUGUCCUCCCUGGUGGGUCUGGAGGAACAACAUCUCCAUGCCAGCUGAGCACUAGACCCUCUUGGAAGCUGUAUUUAGAGCCAUCCCACCACCCUGUGCUGUGCCUCAGGGUGCCUCUGGGCUCUCCUGACCUCUACAGCGGCUUGUUGAGACAGGACGCCUUACAGGGGGAUGUCUGCUUCUGAACCACGUAAAUCAUGUGGCAGAUACUAAGAUUCACAAGGCUGCACUUAAGCUCUUAAACGGAAACUUUUAUCCACUGAAUCAGUAACAAGGAAAAUAAUCAGAGGCUGUCAAAGUGAUAAAGGCGCAGUGAGGCCUAGAGGGAGUUACUAUUUCUCUCGACCGACCGUGUCACUAUUUUUGUAAGCAUUACAAGCACACUGUUCUGGAGCUGGCUGCAGAGACCUGCCUUUAAUAACGAGCACAUGGCCUGAUGUGAUGAGGAAACAUGUCUCCGGAGACACUUGCCAUGUCAGGAGGCAAGGUGGCCCACUGUUUUGGGUGCAGGAAGCCUGCAGAACCGGGUCUCAGGGGUCCAGUAGGUCCCCAAGCUCCUGCAGGCCUGCUGCUCUUGGCGGCAGGACGGAGAUGCAUAGUACCUGCCUCGAAGCUGAGGAUUCAAUGACUGACCACACAACACAUAGUCCAGCCUGCGUCAUGGUUGACACACAGCAAGCACUCCACAAACACAACCACUGUUAUUCAUUUACAGUUAAGGAAGAUAUAAUGUAAGUAUGCUGACCUGACCAUGAUUUUAAAAAUCAUUUUCAAGGCGAAUCCAAGAAUCUGAUGAGCGUGAGGGUGCUGGAAGAAGCUGACUCUAACCUCUCAUUCAUGCAGGUCCUUCCUCAAGCACUCAGAUGCCCACAGGCGAAAGGGCACAUCCCAAGGACACGCCAGGCUUAGCCCUGCACAUUGGUCAUUGCUUGAGUGAGAAAUCCUACAGCAGUGUCCCUGUAACUCCUGCCGCCUCAGGAGCCACACGGCAAAGGCCAGCGUCUGACAAUCCUUCAGGUAACAGUGAAGACACAUCACAUUCCUGUCCAGCCAAAAGUUCCUCAUUGCAGGAUGAACAGCUCCAGUUGUUUCAAACAUGCCCCACAUCUCGUGGCUUCCACAUAGGUCAUAUUAAAAGCCUCUACCAGAGACUGCACGCCCAAGUGCGGCUCCUCAAAGACUUCGCCUGGGGACUCUGCUACUGAUGGCUGUGACCUGUGUGCUCCUGAGAGCUCUGUCCUGGAACUGCCUCAUUCUCAUCAUCUUUGAUUUUAUCCAAAAAUGCUAUUACCCCAGUCUGAAUAUCACAUUUGCCUUUUUGUUUGUUUGAGACGAAGUCUCACUGUUGCCCAGGCUGGAGUGCAGUGGCUUGAUCUCGGCUCUCUGCAACCUCUGCCUCCUGGGUUCCAGCAAUUCUUGUGCUUCAGCCUCCCAAGUAGCUGGGAUUAUAGGAGUGCACCACCAUGCCCCACUAAUUUUUUUUGUAUUUUUAGUAGAGAUGGGGUUUCACCAUGUUGGCCAGGCUGGUCUCGAACUCCUGACCGCAGGUGAUCUGCCCGCCUGCCCAGUAGCUGGUACUAUAGGCACCCACUACCACGCCUGGCUAAUUUUUGUAUCUUCAGUAGAGAUGGAGUUUCACCAUCUUGGCUGUGAACUCCUGACUGGUGAUCCAUCCAUCUCCGUACUCCAAAGUGCUGGGAUUACAGGCGUGAGCCACUGUGCCUGGCCACAUUUUCCUUCUGACAACCCUGAAAUGGUUCUGAAAAUAAAAUGCACCCCGCAACAAUGAUUUGUUGCGCCCGAACAUAUUAAAAAACGUUAAGGUAGGGCAUGGUGGCUCACACCUGUAAUCCCAUCACUUUGGGGUACCGAGAUGGGUGGAUCACCGGUCAGGAGUCCAAAGCCGAGAUGGUGAAACUCCAUCUCUACUAAAGAUACAAAAAUUAGCUGGGCGUGGUAGUGGGCGCCUAUAGUCCCAGCUACUCAAGAGGAUGAGGCAGGAGAAUUGCUUGAACCUGGGAGGUGGACAGUGCAGUGACCUGAGAUUGUGCCACCAUACUUUAGCCUGGGUGACAGAACAAGACUCUCUCAAAAUAAAUAUAUAAAUAAAAAACCAAAAAAAGGUUAAGAAACUAAAACUAUAAAAAUACCUUUCGGUUGACUUUUAAAACUAUCUUUGUGGAGAAGCCUUCCUAAUUAUGACAUGAAACCUGGAAGUCACAGAUAAAUUUAUGUGAAUAUGCAAAUUUGAUCAUAUAAAUAGGAUUAGUUUAAAUAAAAAUAGUCAUGUGCAUUGAAUAAAACACCACAAAGUAAAAAAGUGAUCAUAAAAAGGGGGAACAUUUUGAACACACUAUCACAA